AACGGGAGCUUCGGCUCCAGUGGGCGGACGGGUGAGUAACGCGUGAGAAUCUACCUUCAGGAUGGGGACAACCGUUGGAAACGACGGCUAAUUCCCAAUGUGCCGAGAGGUGAAAGGUUUCGACCGCCUGAAGAGGAGCUCGCGUCCGAUUAGUUUGUUGGUGGGGUAAGAGCUCACCAAGGCAGCGAUCGGUAGCUGGUCUGAGAGGAUGAGCAGCCACACUGGGACUGAGACACGGCCCAGACUCCUACGGGAGGCAGCAGUGGGGAAUUUUCCGCAAUGGGCGAAAGCCUGACGGAGCAACGCCGCGUGUGGGAAGAAGGCUCUUGGGCUGUCAACCACUUUUCUCAGGGAAGAAGUUCUGACGGUACCUGAGGAAUCAGCCUCGGCUAACUCCGUGCCAGCAGCCGCGGUAAUACGGAGGAGGCAAGCGUUAUCCGGAAUUAUUGGGCGUAAAGCGUCCGCAGGGGGCUCAUCAAGUCUGCUGUUAAAGGUCGGAGCUUAACUCCGAUACAGCAGUGGAAACUGAUGGGCUAGAGGGCGACAGGGGUAGAGGGAAUUCCCAGUGUAGCGGUGAAAUGCGUAGAGAUUGGGAAGAACACCGGUGGCGAAAGCGCUCUACUGGGUCGCACCUGACCCUCAGGGACGAAAGCUAAGGGAGCGAAAGGGAUUAGAUACCCCUGUAGUCUUAGCUGUAAACGAUGGAUACUAGGGCGUGGGUUGUAUCGACCCAAGGCCGUGCCGAAGCUAACGCGUUAAGUAU
rnacentral:rRNA from 1 species